CUCAACAACAGAAGAGAAGAUUGUAAAAAGUACUUAAAAGAAAAGAGUCUCUACUCGUAUGUAAAAGAUGCAUAAGCUUAUGAGUUUUUUAAGAGUCAAGAAGGCAAAAAUCCCAGUUUUAAAGUAUUCCAAACUACAACAAGACAGCUUCGCUUGAUCACUCCGUUCGAUCUAGAGAACGUAGUAGUAACCCAAGACAAGAAGCAACAGUACCACCAGAGCCGCUGGAGCAGCAUAAACCCAGUAAUUAGUCGACUUCUUACGCUUAAGGAUCGCUCUUGGGAUCGUUUCUGGUCCCCUACCGCGGGUCCUGUUCCUUAUUGGUUUCUCCUUGAAGACUUUUUCCUUCUGCGGUUUCUCCUCCUGCACCGGAGCUUCAAUCUCCUCCUCAGAAGCUUCUGGAACUUCCUCAGUCUCGGUUUCUGUGUUGCCUCCGGUUUUCUUCUUGGCCUUCUUCUCUUGCUCCU